UGGGUUGGUAGGGGAGCGUCGUGCAUCCGGUGAAGCUGCCGAGUGAUCGUGUGGUGGAGGGUGUGCGAGUGAGAAUGCAGGCAUGAGUAGCGAGAGCGGCGUGAGAAACGUCGCCGCCGAUUGACUAAGGGUUCCUGGGGCAGGUUAAUCCGCCCAGGGUGAGUCUGGACCUAAGGCGAGGCCGACAGGCGUAGUCGAUGGAUAACGGGUUGAUAUUCCCGUACCCGUGCACGAGCGCCCAUGCUGAAUCGUGUGAUGCUAACCGUGUGUGCUGUCGGGGUGUCCUUCGGGAUGCUCUGGUUGGUGCGUGUGGGAACCGAUCGUGUAGUAGGUAAGUGAUGGGGUGACGCAGGAGGGUAGCUCUACCCGGCGGUGGUUGUCCGGGGGUAAGCGUGUAGGCCGGUGUGUUGGUAAAUCCGCAUGCCAUGGAGGCUGAGGCGUGAUGCCGAGCCGUUUUUGGUGAAGUGAGUGAUCCCGUGCUGUCGAGAAAAGCCUCUAGCGAGUUCGUGUGUGGCCAGUACCCUAAACCGACGCAGGUGGUCAGGUAGAGAAUACCGAGGCGUUCGGGUGAACCAUGGUUAAGGAACUCGGCAAAUUGUCCCCGUAACUUUGGGAGAAGGGGAGCCCUGUCUGGUGAUGGACUGUGCGUCUUGAGCUGGGUGGGGUCGCAGAUAGCGGGGGGAAGCGACUGUUUAUUAAAAACACAGGUCCGUGCGAAGUCGUAAGACGCUGUAUACGGACUGACGCCUGCCCGGUGCUGGAACGUUAAGAGGACUGGUUAGCGGGUUUCGGCCUGUGAAGCUGGGAAUCUAAGCGCCAGUAAACGGCGGUGGUAACUAUAACCAUCCUAAGGUAGCGAAAUUCCUUGUCGGGUAAGUUCCGACCUGCACGAAUGGCGUAACGACUUCCCCACUGUCUCAACCAUGGGCCCGGUGAAAUUGCACUACGAGUAAAGAUGCUCGUUUCGCGCAGCAGGACGGAAAGACCCCGGGACCUUCACUAUAGCUUGACAUUGGUGUUUGGGAUGGUUUGUGUAGGAUAGGUGGGAGCCGGUGAAGCUGUCACGCUAGUGGCGGUGGAGGCGUUGGUGAAAUACCACUCUGGCUGUUUCGGGCAUCUAACCUUGGGCCGUGAUCCGGUUCGGGGACAGUGUCUGGUGGGUAGUUUAACUGGGGCGGUUGCCUCCUAAAGGGUAACGGAGGCGCCCAAAGGUUCCCUCAGCCUGGUUGGUCAUCAGGUGUUGAGUGUAAGUGCACAAGGGAGCUUGACUGUGAGACGGACGUGUCGAGCAGGAGCGAAAGCUGGGACUAGUGAUCCGGCACCGGCGUGUGGAAGCGGUGUCGCUCAACGGCUAAAAGGUACCCCGGGGAUAACAGGCUGAUCUUCCCCAAGAGUCCGUAUCGACGGGAUGGUUUGGCACCUCGAUGUCGGCUCGUCGCAUCCUGGGGCUGGAGUUGGUCCCAAGGGUUGGGCUGUUCGCCCAUUAAAGCGGCACGCGAGCUGGGUUUAGAACGUCGUGAGACAGUUCGGUCCCUAUCCGCUGUGCGCGUUGGAGACUUGAGAAGGGCUGUCCCUAGUACGAGAGGACCGGGACGGACGGACCUCUGGUGUGCCAGUUGUUCUGCCAAGGGCAUGGCUGGUUGGCUACGUUCGGGAGGGAUAACCGCUGAAAGCAUCUAAGCGGGAAGCCUGCUUCGAGAUGAGGUCUCCUGCCCCUGUGAGGGGGUAAGGCUCCCUGUAGACGACGGGGUUGAUAGGCCGGGUGUGGAAGCCUUGUGAGGGGUGGAGCUGACCGGUACUAAUAGGCCGAGGGCUUGUCCG
rnacentral:rRNA from 1 species